rnacentral:rRNA from 1 species
AGUGAACGCUGGCGGUAGGCCUAACACAUGCAAGUCGAAUGGCAGCACAGUAAGAGCUUGCUCUUACGGGUGGCGAGUGGCGGACGGGUGAGGAAUACAUCGGAAUCUACUUUUUCGUGGGGGAUAACGUAGGGAAACUUACGCUAAUACCGCAUACGACCUACGGGUGAAAGCAGGGGAUCUUCGGACCUUGCGCGAUUGAAUGAGCCGAUGUCGGAUUAGCUAGUUGGCGGGGUAAAGGCCCACCAAGGCGACGAUGCGUAGCUGGUCUGAGAGGAUGAUCAGCCACACUGGAACUGAGACACGGUCCAGACUCCUACGGGAGGCAGCAGUGGGGAAUAUUGGACAAUGGGCGCAAGCCUGAUCCAGCCAUACCGCGUGGGUGAAGAAGGCCUUCGGGUUGUAAAGCCCUUUUGUUGGGAAAGAAAAGCAGCAGGUUAAUACCCCGCUGUUCUGACGGUACCCAAAGAAUAAGCACCGGCUAACUUCGUG